rnacentral:rRNA from 1 species
ACCUGACUGCUAUCGGAUUGAUACUAAGCCAUGCUAGUCUUUGUAGUAAUACAAGGCAUACGGCUCAGUAACGCGUAGUCAACCUACCCUAUGGACGGGGAUAAUCUCGGGAAACUGAGCAUAAUACCCGGUAGACCACUUAUCCUGGAAUGGUUAGUGGUUAAAAUGAUUCGUCGCCAUAGGAUGGGACUGCGGCCUAUCAGCUUGUUGGUGAGGUAAUGGCCCACCAAGGCGAUUACAGGUACGGGCUCUGAGAGGAGAGGCCCGGAGAUGGGUACCGAGACAAGGACCCAGGCCCUAUGGGGCGCAGCAGGCGAGAAAACUUUGCAAUGUGCGAAAGCACGACAAGGUUAAUCCGAGUGAUUUCUGCUAAAGGAAUCUUUUGUUAGUUCUAAAAAUACUAGUGAAUAAGGGGUGGGCAAGUUCUGGUGUCAGCCGCCGCGGUAAAACCAGCACCUCAAGUGGUCAGGAGGAUUAUUGGGCCUAAAGCAUCCGUAGCCUGUUCUAUAAGUUUGCGGUUAAAUCUAUACGCUCAACGUAUAGGCUGCCGUAAAUACUGUAGAACUAGGGAGUGGGAGAGGUAGACGGUACUCGAUAGGAAGGGGUAAAAUCCUUUGAUCUAUUGAUGACCACCUGUGGCGAAGGCGGUCUACCAGAACACGUUCGACGGUGAGGGAUGAAAGCUGGGGGAGCAAACCGGAUUAGAUACCCGGGUAGUCCCAGCUGUAAACGAUGCAGACUCGAUGAUGCAAUGGCAUAGAGCUAUUGCAGUAUCGCAGGGAAGCCGUUAAGUUUGCCGCCUGGGAAGUACGUACGCAAGUAUGAAACUUAAAGGAAUUGGCGGGGGAGCACCACAAGGGGUGAAGCCUGCGGUUC